UACGUAGGGUGCGAGCGUUUAAUCGGAAUUACUGGGCGUAAAGCGUGCGCAGGCGGUUAUGUAAGACAGGUGUGAAAUCCCCCGGGCUUAACCUGGGAACUGCAUUUGUGGACUGCAUAGCUAGAGUACGGUAGAGGGGGAUGGAAUUCCGCGUGUAGCAGUGAAAUGCGUAGAUAUGCGGAGGAACACCGAUGGCGAAGGCAAUCCCUGGACCUGUACUGACGCUCAUGCACGAAAGCGUGGGGAGCAAACAGG
rnacentral:rRNA from 1 species